CAUUACCGAGUUCACGCCCUCACGGGUAGACCUCCAACCCUUGUGUAUCUCUACCAUGUUGCUUUGGCAGGCUGCUCGACCCUUCCGGGGACAGCCUCAGCGCCCUCCGGGGCCGGAGAGUCGCCUGCCGGAGGAAAAUCACAACUCUGAAUUGUCAGUGUCGUCUGAGUGACUAUCUAAUAGUU
rnacentral:rRNA from 1 species